rnacentral:tRNA from 1 species
UCCCUGGUGGCUCAGACGGUAAAGAAUCCACCUGCAACGUGGGAGACCCAGGUUCCAUCCCUGGGUUGGGAA